rnacentral:rRNA from 1 species
CAAUAGCGUAUAUUAAAGCUGUUGCGGUUAAAAAGCUCGUAGUUGGAUUUCUGUCAAGGACAACUGGUCCGCCCCUCGGGUGAGCACAUAGUUUGGUCUUGGCAUCUUGUUGGAAACUGUUGCUGCACUUGGUUGUGUGGCGCAGUGUCCAGCACUUUCACUUUGAGGAAAUUGGAGUGUUUCAAGCAGGCACAUGCCUUUGGACACAGUAGCAUGGAAUAAUUAGAUUGGGCUUUUGCUCCAACUUGUCGGUUUCUGGAGCUGAGGUGAGAAUUAAUGGGGAUUGUCGGGGGCAUCCGAAUUUAGCCGUCAGAGGUGAAAUUCUUGGAUCUGCUAAAGACGGACAACUGCGAAAGCGUUUGCCCAGGAUGUUUUCAUUGA